UACGUAGGGGGCAAGCGUUGUCCGGAUUUAUUGGGCGUAAAGAGCGUGUAGGCGGCUGGGUAGGUCCGUUGUGAAAACUCGAGGCUCAACCUCGAGACGCCGAUGGAAACCCUCCAGCUAGAGUCCGGAAGAGGAGAGUGGAAUUCCUGGUGUAGCGGUGGAAUGCGCAGAUAUCAGGAGGAACACCAAUAGCGAAGGCAGCUCGCUGGGACGGUACUGACGCUGAGACGCGAAAGCGUGGGGAGCGAGCAGG
rnacentral:rRNA from 1 species